rnacentral:rRNA from 1 species
UACGGGGGGGGCAAGCGUUGUUCGGAAUUACUGGGCGUAAAGGGCUCGUAGGCGGCCAACUAAGUCGGACGUGAAAUCCCCAGGCUCAACCUGGGAACUGCGUCCGAUACUGGAUGGCUUGAAUCCGGGAGAGGGAUGCAGAAUUCCAGGUGUAGCGGUGAAAUGCGUAGAUAUCUGGAGGAAUACCGGUGGCGAAGGCGGCAUCCUGGACCGGCAUUGACGCUGAGGAGCGAAAGCCAGGGGAGCAAACGGGAUUAGAAACCCCCGUAGUCC